GCCUCCUGCAGAAUAAGAGGUAAGGCCUGCUCAGUGUUAAACAGCCGCAGAUCUCUGACUGUGCAAAGGUAGCAUAAUCAAUCGCCUUUUAAUUGGUGGCUCGUAUGAACGGCUAAACUGAGCAGAAAGUCUUAGACCUCAAAAUUAGGUUAAAGGUAAAAACACCUUUAUCAACCCCAGGGACGAGGAGACCUUAGGAGCUUGGGGAGGCUUUUGGUUGGGGCGAUUAAAGAAGAGACGGAACUUUCACAAGUUACCCUAGGGUUAACAGCGUGAUAUAGAGUCUGAGUACUCAUUGGGCUCUAAGCUUACGACCUCGAUGUUGAGUUAAGAAGUGCAGGGGCUUUAGUCUGUUCGACUAGUAAUCUCUUACA
rnacentral:rRNA from 1 species